AUCGAACGCUGGCGGCAGGCUUAACACAUGCAAGUCGAGCGAGCGGAGGACGGGUGAGUAAUGUCUGGGAAAAUGCCUGAUGGAGGGGGAUAACUACUGGAAACGGUAGCUAAUACCGCAAACAAUCGGAUGUGCCCAGAGGGGAGUAGCUAGUAGGUGGGGGAAUGGCUCACCUAGGCGACGGUCCCUAGCUGGUCUGAGAAGAUGACCAGCCACACUGGAACUUAGACACGGGCCAGACUCCUACGGGAGGCAGCAGUGGGGAAUGUUGCACAAUGGGCGCAAGCCUGAAGCAUCCAGUCCGCGUGUGGGAAGAAGGCCUUCGGGUUGUAAAGCACUAUCAGCGAGGAGGCGUUACUCGCAGAAGAAGCACCGGCUAACUCCGUGCCAGCAGCCGCGGUAAUUC
rnacentral:rRNA from 1 species